rnacentral:rRNA from 1 species
CCUGAACGCUGGCGGCGUGGCUAAGACAUGCAAGUCGAACGGACGUAGCAAUACGUCAGUGGCGGACGGGUGAGUAAUGUAUCGCUAAUGUACCCUGGAGUUUGGGAUAGCUGACCGAAAGGUCAGGUAAUACCGGAUGACAUCCCCUUGUCGCAUGGCGAGGGUCUCAAAGGAGCAAUCCGCUCUGGGAGCAGGCGAUAUCGUAUCAGGUAGUUGGGAGGUAACGGCUCACCAAGCCGACGACGCGUAGCUGGUCUGAGAGGACGGCCAGCCACAUCGGGACUGAGACACUGCCCGGACUCCUACGGGGGGCGUGCAGUAACGAAUCUUCCACAAUGCACGAAAGUAGUGAUGGAGCGACGCCGCGUGUAGGAUGAAGUCC